rnacentral:tRNA from 1 species
GCCUGAGUGGCUCAGUCAGUUGAGCAUCCGACUUCAGCUCAGGUCAUGAUCUCGCAGUUCAUGAGUUCGAGCCCCAUGUCGGGCU